UCUUAGGUCUUUCUUUUGGGUUCUUCUAGAGCUUAGAAUUUUAUAUAAUUUUUAGCAUAAAAAAUCAGAUUAGAUCUGAUUUUCAUCAUAAAAAAUUAAAGAAAAAAAGUUCUUCUUAAAAGUAUGAAAGGAAGAGAGAAAGAUUCUCUCUUCUGUAUGGGAGAAUUAAGAAGAAAGAAUUUUUCUCUUGAUCUUUAUUAUAGAGAUCUGAUGUAUGAAUCCAGGAAGAAAAGGGAAGGAUCCCUUUAUUCUUUAUCUUCAUCAUGUUUCUCUUAGAUCAGUCAAAGUAUGGUGUCUUCGCAAGCUAGCACUUUCGG
rnacentral:lncRNA from 1 species